CCUACGGGAUGCAGCAGUCGAGAAUCAUUCACAAUGGGGGAAACCCUGAUGGUGCGACGCCGCGUGGGGGAAUGAAGGUCUUCGGAUUGUAAACCCCUGUCAUGUGGGAGCAAAUUAAAAAGAUAGUACCACAAGAGGAAGAGACGGCUAACUCUGUGCCAGCAGCCGCGGUAAUACAGAGGUCUCAAGCGUUGUUCGGAAUCACUGGGCGUAAAGCGUGCGUAGGCUGUUUCGUAAGUCGUGUGUGAAAGGCGCGGGCCCAACCCGCGGACGGCACAGGAGACUGCGAGACUAGAGUAAUGGAGGGGGAAGCGGAAUGCUCGGUGUAGCAGUGAAAUGCGUAGAUAUCGAGAGGAACACUCGUGGCGAAGGCGGGUUCCUGGACAUUAACUGACGCUGAGGCACGAAGGCCAGGGGAGCGAAAGGGAUUAGAUACCCUUGUAGUC
rnacentral:rRNA from 1 species